rnacentral:rRNA from 1 species
GUCCUUUUGAGAAAGAAUUUAAGGUCUAGCCUGCCCACUGAAGUAUUAAAUGGCCGCAGUAAUUUGACUGUGCAAAGGUAGCAUAAUCAUUAGUUUUUUAAUUAAAAGCUAGAAUGAAUGGUUGGACGAGAUAAAACCUGUCUCUUGUUAAAAAUUAGAAUUUAAUAUUUAAGUUAAAAAGCUUAAAUUUUUAUAAAAGACGAGAAGACCCUAUAGAUCUUUAUAAUACAGACUAUGUAUUUAAUUAGGAAUAUUUAAUUAUUUAUAGUUUUUAUUAUUUUAUUGGGGUAAUAAAAGGAUUAAAAUAAUUCCUUUUUAAUUUUUUUCAAUGAUAUUUGAUUUUUUGAUCCUUUAUUAGAGAUUGUAAGAUUAAGUUACCUUAGGGAUAACAGCGUAAUUUUUUUAAAGAGUUCUUAUCGAUAAAAAAGUUUGCGACCUCGAUGUUGGAUUAAAAAUUAUCCUGGGUGCAGAAGUUUGGGAUUUUGGUCUGUUCGACCAUUAAAUUUUUACA